GCGCUGGUGGUCUAGUGGUAUGAUCUUAGCCUUCCAAGCUAAAGGUCCGGGUUCAAUUCCCGGCCGGCGCA
rnacentral:tRNA from 1 species